AUCGCCAGGGAAUUACGAGCCCAAACUUAAAACCCAAAGGACUUGACGGUGCCCCACUCCCCCUAGAGGAGCCUGUUCUACAAUCGAUUAUACCCGCUAUACCCGACUGCUUUUUGAUCAAUCAGCUUGUAUACUUCCGUCGUAAGCUCACCAUGUUGAAUUGAUAUUGUAGUGAGCAUAAAGGAUUUACCUCUCCCCAAUACGUCAGGUCAAGGUGCAGCCCACAAAGCAGAUAGACAUGGGCUACAGUUUCUAUAAUAGAACCCACGAAAAGCCAUAUGAAAUAUGGCCACGAAGGAGGAUUUAGAAGUAAAAAGAAAAUAAGACGUCCUUUUUAACUAAGGUGCUGGGGCGCGUACAGACCGCCCGUCACCCUCUUCAACCAUACCCAAUUGAUUAUUAACCCAAUAAUUUAAUAUAGAA
rnacentral:rRNA from 1 species